GGCGAGUUUGAUCAUGGCUCAGGACGAACGCUGGCGGCGCGCCUAAUACAUGCAAGUCGAGCGAGAACCAGGGCUUGCCCUGGGGAGAGCGGCGAACGGGUGCGUAUCACGUGAGCAACCUGCCUCAGAGACCGGGAUAACUCGAGGAAACUCGGGCUAAUACCGGAUGCCCUCGACGGACCGCAUGGUCCGACGAGGAAAUGGAUUCCGCUCUGAGAUGGGCUCGCGGCCUAUCAGCUUGUUGGUGGGGUAACGGCCUACCAAGGCAACGACGGGUAGCUGGUCUGAGAGGACGAUCAGCCACACUGGGACUGAGACACGGCCCAGACUCCUACGGGAGGCAGCAGUAGGGAAUCUUGCGCAAUGGGGGAAACCCUGACGCAGCGACGCCGCGUGCGGGAUGAAGGCCUCCGGGUCGUAAACCGCUUUCAGCAGGGACGAAAUUGACGGUACCUGCAGAAGAAGGCCCGGCCAACUACGUGCCAGCAGCCGCGGUAAUAA
rnacentral:rRNA from 1 species